CACCGAAUGCUUGCAUUCACCGAAAGAAGCUUAGUGGCGAACGGGUGAGUAACACGUAGGCAACCUCGACCAAAGGAGGGGAUAACACUUAGGAAACAGGUGCUAAUACCGCAUAACCAUGAACACCGCAUGAUGUUCAUGUAAAAGACGGCUUUCGCUGUCACUUUUGGAUGGGCCUGCGGCGUAUUAACUUGUUGGUGGGGUAACGGCCUACCAAGGUGAUGAUACGUAGCCGAACUGAGAGGUUGAUCGGCCACAUUGGGACUGAGACACGGCCCAAACUCCUACGGGAGGCAGCAGUAGGGAAUCUUCCACAAUGGACGAAAGUCUGAUGGAGCAACGCCGCGUGAAUGAAGAAGGCCUUCGGGUCGUAAAAUUCUGUUGUCAGAGAAGAACGUGCGUGAGAGUAACUGUUCACGUAUUGACGGUAUCUGACCAGAAAGCCACGGCUAACUACGUG
rnacentral:rRNA from 1 species